CCUACGGGAGGCAGCAGUGGGGGAUAUUGCACAAUGGGGGAAACCCUGAUGCAGCGACGCCGCGUGUGGGAAGACGGUCCUCUGGAUUGUAAACCACUGUCCCCAGGGACGAAGAUGACGGUACCUGGGGAGGAAGCUCCGGCUAACUACGUGCCAGCAGCCGCGGUAAUACGUAGGGAGCGAGCGUUGUCCGGAAUUACUGGUGGAAAAGGGAGCAUAGGCGGGACUGCAAGUUGGGUGUCAAAUCUACCGGCUCAACCGGUAGCCGCACUCAAACCUGCAGUUCUUGAGUGAAGUAGAGGCAGGCGGAAUUCCUAGUGUAGCGGUGAAAUGCGUAGAUAUUAGGAGGAACACCAGUGGCGAAGGCGGCCUGCUGGGCUUUUACUGACGCUGAGGCUCGAAAGUGUGGGGAGCAAACAGGAUUAGAUACCCGGGUAGUC
rnacentral:rRNA from 1 species